rnacentral:rRNA from 1 species
CCUACGGGAGGCAGCAGUGAGGAAUAUUGGUCAAUGGGCGCGAGCCUGAACCAGCCAAGUAGCGUGAAGGAUGACUGCCCUACGGGUUGUAAACUUCUUUUAUAUGGGAAUAAAGUGCAGUAUGUAUACCGCUUUGCAUGUACCUUAUGAAUAAGGAUCGGCUAACUCCGUGCCAGCAGCCGCGGUAAUACGGAGGAUCCGAGCGUUAUCCGGAUUUAUUGGGUUUAAAGGGGGCGUAGGAGGGUUGUUAAGUCAGUUGUGAAAGUUUGCGGCUCAACCGUAAAAUUGCAGUUGAUACUGGCAGUCUUGAGUACAGUAGAGGUAGGCGGAAUGCGUGGUGUAGCGGUGAAAUGCUUAGAUAUCACGAAGAACUCCGAUUGCGAAGGCAGCUUGCUGGACUGUCACUGACGCUGAUGCUCGAAAGUGUGGGUAUCAAACAGGAUUAGAUACCCGGGUAGUC